AUGCGGACUCUCUUUUGGAACAUCCGCGGCUUCGGCCAAGAUGGCCGGCGUCGCCAACUAACCGAGUACAUGCGAGACGAACGGAUCGACAUUGUAGCCAUCCAGGAAACCAUGCGGACGGAUUUCUCUCUGCCCGAGCUCGACUGCCUUAGCCCCCACCUAUUUGUCUGGCAUUGGCUCCCUUCUAGUGGGAGCACCGGCCAUUCGGGUGGCAUCCUUUUAGGUGUGAAGGAUGCCACCUUUGAGGUGAGAAGCAUGGAUAGGGGAGAGUUCUUUGUCAGUAUGGAGGUCUCUGAGCGGGCGCUCAACUUUAAAUGGGAGAUUGUGAUUGUCUACGGGCCUGCGGACCACCGACGCUCGCCGGCCUUCCUCGACGAGCUUCGAAGGAAGGUCUCGGCUGCCCAACAUCCGGUGGUGGUCGGUGGAGAUUUUAAUCUAAUUCGAUCUCCCGCAGACAAGAACUACGACCUAGUCAACCUCCACCGCAUGUAG
rnacentral:rRNA from 1 species